CCUACGGGCGGCAGCAGUGGGGAAUAUUGGACAAUGGGCGAAAGCCUGAUCCAGCCAUGCCGCGUGUGUGAAGAAGGCCUUCGGGUUGUAAAGCACUUUCAGUGGGGAAGAAAGCCUUGGGGCUAAUACCCUCGAGGAAGGACAUCACCCACAGAAGAAGCACCGGCUAACUCCGUGCCAGCAGCCGCGGUAAUACGGAGGGUGCGAGCGUUAAUCGGAAUUACUGGGCGAAAAGCGCGCGUAGGCGGUCUGAUAAGCCGGUUGUGAAAGCCCCGGGCUCAACCUGGGAACGGCAUCCGGAACUGUCAGGCUAGAGUGCAGGAGAGGAAGGUAGAAUUCCCGGUGUAGCGGUGAAAUGCGUAGAGAUCGGGAGGAAUACCAGUGGCGAAGGCGGCCUUCUGGACUGACACUGACGCUGAGGUGCGAAAGCGUGGGUAGCAAACAGGAUUAGAUACCCCGGUAGUC
rnacentral:rRNA from 1 species